AUUGAACGCUGGCGGCAUGCCUAACACAUGCAAGUCGAACGAGUGGCGGACGGGUGAGUAAUGUCUGGGAAACUGCCCGCUGGAGGGGGAUAACUACUGGAAACGGUAGCUAAUACCGCAUACCAUCGGAUGUGCCCAGAGGGGAUUAGCUAGUAGGUGGGGUAAAGGCUCACCUAGGCGACGAUCCCUAGCUGGUCUGAGAGGAUGACCAGCCACACUGGGACUGAGACACGGUCCAGACUCCUACGGGAGGCAGCAGUGGGGAAUAUUGCACAAUGGGCGCAAGCCUGAUGCAGCCAUGCCGCGUGUAUGAAGAAGGCCGUCGGGUGGUAAAGUACUGUCAGCGGGGAAGCGUUACCCGCAGAAGAAGCACCGGCUAACUCCGUGCCAGCAGCCGCGGUAAUUC
rnacentral:rRNA from 1 species